GGAUUGUGGCUCAGCAGUACAGCGCUCCCCUCACACGUGCAAGAUCCUGGGUUCGAUCCUCAGCACCA
rnacentral:tRNA from 1 species